rnacentral:rRNA from 1 species
CCUCGGGAGGCAGCAGUGAGGAAUAUUGGUCAAUGGGCGGGAGCCUGAACCAGCCAAGUCGCGUGAGGGAAGACGGUCCUAUGGAUUGUAAACCUCUUUUGCCGGGGGACAAACGGCGGCACGCGUGCCGUCCUGAGGGUACCCGGAGAAAAAGCAUCGGCUAACUCCGUGCCAGCAGCCGCGGUAAUACGGAGGAUGCGAGCGUUAUCCGGAUUUAUUGGGUUUAAAGGGUGCGUAGGCGGGAUGCCAAGUCAGCGGUCAAAUACGGGGGCUCAACCUGCGUCCGCCGUUGAAACUGGCGUUCU